UCCCCCGUUCCCCCAGCUAGGCUGAGGGCGCCUGGCCCGGAGGUGGGGGUGGGAGACGGAGGUGACCUGGAGACGCCCCUGACACUCCGGAAAAGUGAGGGGAGGAGAAGGAAGUGAUGGGGGGGUGUAGGAGAAAGAGGGUGUCAGUGGGGACCCGCCCCCACUCAUACCCAGCCCCCCUCAACGGGGCAUCUGGCCAUACCUUAGGGGUCUGUGUGCCUACGUGUGUGGAUGGGACUACGUCCACCACUGGGAUGCGGACGCUGACUUAGGGUUGCCUGGGAUCUUCCGACUGAGUGAAUCCUUAAGGGGCAAGAGCUAGAGCAGAACUCAGACGGGCGUGUCUGGGGUGAGGAAGAAGAGGGUGUGGAGCCGCCAGGACCGGAGACCAGAGUCCUGCCCCUGAUUUUACCUUGGAGCUUUCUGUGGGACUUUGCGAGCCCUUCUAUGGGCUUCCGUGUCCUGCUCUGUGAAAAGACCCAGAGGACCACGGGAUUAGAGAAGGAUCGAGAGAGCUGGAAGGAGUCUUGGAGGUCACUGAGUGUGACCCCGUUGCUUUGGUUUCCUUCUCUAUAAAAAGAUAGG